ensembl:lncRNA novel transcript
AGAUGCCCGGAGCGGGCACCGGCACUGAGGGAAGGUGUGAGCUGCCGCCGAGGGUCCCAGGCGGAACGCGGGAAGGGAGCAGGUUGGUCACGAACUCCUGACCUCAAAUGAUCUGCCUGCCUUGGCCUCCCGAAGUGCUGGGAUUACAGACCUGAGCCACCGCACUCAGCCCUAUUGUGUCCAGAAUUGGUGGGCUCUUGGUCUCACUGACUUCAAGAAUGAAGCCACAGACCCUGGUGGUUUAUUUAACAAUGUGAAGUAGUCCUGGGAAGUUGUACUUUGAGCAAGGUCCGCAAGCAGUAUUCCUGCACUUCUCCAGUCAUGCCCCAGCGCCAGGUCGGAAGCUGUCCACAUGCGGGGAUGGAGCCUGGCGUCCUGGGCCCACAAGGACAGGGCCCUGAAUAUGGACUUAGCAGAACAAAGUUGGGAAGGCAACUGCACUCACCCCUUGUGCCUCCUGUGGUACCUGCCCUUCACGGUUCCUGGUGGGGACACUCAGGCACCAGCUUCAUGGCUGGACUCAGAUGACACAACGCCAGGAAAAAAAGUAAAAGCCCCAUUACCCUUUCCAAUGCCUAGAUAAAAUAGAUGUCUAAUAAAAACCUGCUAAUAAUCAUUUAUUGUUUGUUUAUAUACAAUUAAAACAAACAUUAAAACAAUCAUUUAAAAACA